GACGAACGCUGGCGGCGUGCCUAAUACAUGCAAGUAGAACGCUGAAGGAGGAGCUUGCUUCUCUGGAUGAGUUGCGAACGGGUGAGUAACGCGUAGGUAACCUGCCUGGUAGCGGGGGAUAACUAUUGGAAACGAUAGCUAAUACCGCAUAAUAGUAGAUGUUGCAUGACAUUUGCUUAAAAGGUGCAAUUGCAACACUACCAGAUGGACCUGCGUUGUAUUAGCUAGUUGGUGAGGUAACGGCUCACCAAGGCGACGAUACAUAGCCGACCUGAGAGGGUGAUCGGCCACACUGGGACUGAGACACGGCCCAGACUCCUACGGGAGGCAGCAGUAGGGAAUCUUCGGCAAUGGACGGAAGUCUGACCGAGCAACGCCGCGUGAGUGAAGAAGGUUUUCGGAUCGUAAAGCUCUGUUGUAAGAGAAGAACGAGUGUGAGAGUGGAAAGUUCACACUGUGACGGUAUCUUACCAGAAAGGGACGGCUAACUACGUG
rnacentral:rRNA from 1 species